rnacentral:rRNA from 1 species
UGCAGUCGUACGAUGGAAGCCCGUCGGGGUGGAUUAGUGGCGAACGGGUGAGUAACACGUGGGCAAUCUGCCCUUCACUCUGGGACAAGCCCUGGAAACGGGGUCUAAUACCGGAUAACACUCUGUCCCGCAUGGGACGGGGUUAAAAGCUCCGGCGGUGAAGGAUGAGCCCGCGGCCUAUCAGCUUGUUGGUGGGGUAAUGGCCUACCAAGGCGACGACGGGUAGCCGGCCUGAGAGGGCGACCGGCCACACUGGGACUGAGACACGGCCCAGACUCCUACGGGAGGCAGCAGUGGGGAAUAUUGCACAAUGGGCGAAAGCCUGAUGCAGCGACGCCGCGUGAGGGAUGACGGCCUUCGGGUUGUAAACCUCUUUCAGCAGGGAAGAAGCGAAAGUGACGGUACCUGCAGAAGAAGCGCCGGCUAACUACGUGCCAGCAGCCGCGGUAAUACGUAGGGCGCAAGCGUUGUCCGGAAUUAUUGGGCGUAAAGAGCUCGUAGGCGGCUUGUCACGUCGGAUGUGAAAGCCCGGGGCUUAACCCCGGGUCUGCAUUCGAUACGGGCUAGCUAGAGUGUGGUAGGGGAGAUCGGAAUUCCUGGUGUAGCGGUGAAAUGCGCAGAUAUCAGGAGGAACACCGGUGGCGAAGGCGGAUCUCUGGGCCAUUACUGACGCUGAGGAGCGAAAGCGUGGGGAGCGAACAGGAUUAGAUACCCUGGUAGUCCACGCCGUAAACGUUGGGAACUAGGUGUUGGCGACAUUCCACGUCGUCGGUGCCGCAGCUAACGCAU